AGUAUGUUAUGUUUUUUAUUAAUAAAUUACGAUAACUUAUUGUCUAAACUAAGAAAACACUGAAUACAUUUUAUUUUAUGUUAUGUUCAUUUUCGCUGAAAACCAUCUUCUUAUUAUCGAUACCCUUCUAUGUAACUAACACUCAACCAUUAGAAAAUGAAAACGACAAAAACCACCUACAAUUAGGGUCACUCCACAUGCUUGAGAAAUCGAUUCGACAUUGCCGCCACCGGUCACGCCAUUGCUGUCAGCACUUAACAUAUGCCUUCGCUCUAAACACCAUCUUUGUAACGCCCUGUUUCUCGUCCAUUCAUAUAGUUAAAUUUUAAACCUAAAUAGGGAUAAUAAUAAUAAUAAUAAUAAUUGUAAAAUAAUAAUAGUUAAAAUAAGUUGAAAACAUUUAAGAAACCUAAAAUGCGAGUGUUUUAAACUGUAGGGGCUAUAUAUGCGAAGUGGGAAAAUUUAGAAUAUGAUAAAGAGAAUCGUUUGGAGGAUGAAUAUGCAUUACGGUAAAGCAAGAGAGGACCAAUCGAAAUGUUUUUGAAAUAAGCUCAUAUUGACGUGAGAAAGAGGGCUAAUCGGCCUAUCUUUUUCUUUUUGGUCAGCCUCAUUUUUAUACAAAGCGGACUUAACUUAGGAGUCCAAGGAAAAGAAGAAAAUUAGGCGUGUUCGUGUGCUAACUGGUACGACGUCGGCAAAAAGAGGGAGAGAGCUAGGAACAAAUUGCGAUCGACGAAGAAUCAAGGCAGUGGGGGAGAAGGUUGAUCAGGAAAGCUCUUCGCUGGUGGUUUUUGAUCCAUAGAGACAAGACCAGUGAUUGGUUGGAUUAGCGUAAAACGCACGGAUAAGGACGUAAGUCACGGUGUCGGACCGCAAUCAUCAUCGAGACGGUUCCCUUUGGUUCAUCGUUAUUAAAACAACUUAAACUGGACAAUUUUGCCCUUGAUAUGAGUUUGGUUGAGGACUUUAUCUAGAGCUGCCGACCUCGAAUGUACUUUUGAUCCAAUUUGGACGAUUUUGCCCCUAAAGAUGUAUUUGCAACUUCAAGUGGAUAUAGGUGUUGCUUUUAAUUUUGUUGAGCUCUUAUGCUAGCAGGUGUUAUCUCAACUAGAUAAAGUUAUUUUGCAGGGUUCUUAGCAUUGUGUUCAUCUAUUUGUACAAGUCAUUGUCGUUAAAAAUGUUAUUUUUAAAAUGGUUCUUUAAUGUUUUUCCACUUUGCUUGGUUUUUAGUUGGUUCUUUGUUAAUAAGAUUGAAUACUUUUAGAAAUAAGUCUUUGAAUAAUAGUCUAAAUAUUGAUAUGGAAU